GCCGGGCUACGUGGUUCUCUCACCUCAGCCUCCCAAAGUGUUAGGGUUGCAGGUGUGAGUCACCAUGCCUGGCCCUUCACAGGUAUUUUGUAAGCAACCAGUAGAAUCAUUUUACAAUCACACUAUAUUAUGUAAUCAUUUAAUGUUAGUGCUUAAUGACAAAAGUUUGGACAUGAAGCUACAUGACCAGCAAGCUCAAACUUACGCCAAACACAUAUGCAUAGAAAAGAUGGAGCCGGGUGUGGUGGUGCACACCUGAAGUCCCAGCUACUCAGGAAGCCAACGCGGGAGGAUUGCUUGAGCCUAGGAGUCUCAGACCAGCCUGCGUGACAUAAUGAGACCUCGGCUCU